rnacentral:rRNA from 1 species
GAUGAACGCUGGCGGCGUGCCUAAUACAUGCAAGUCGAGCGAACAGACGAGGAGCUUGCUCCUCUGACGUUAGCGGCUGACGGGUGAGUAACACGUGGAUAACCUACCUAUAAUACUGGGAUAACUUCGGGAAACCGGAGCUAAUACCGUAUAAUAUAUUUAACCGCAUGGUUCAUUAGUUAAUUACGUUUUUUCUGUCUCUUAUAGCUUGAUCCGCGCCGCAUUAGCUAGUUGGUAAGGUAACGGCUUACCAAGGCAACGAUGCGUAGCCGACGUGAUAGGGUGAUCGGCAACACGGGAACGGAGACACGGUCAAGACACCUACGGGAGGAAGCAGAAGGGAAUAUUACGAAAUGGGCGAAAGCUUGACGGAGCAAAGCCGCGUGAGUGAUGAAGGUCUACGGAUCGUAAAACUCUGUUAUUAGGGAAGAAAAAAUGUGUAAGUAAAUAUGCACGUCGUGACGGUAACUAAUCAGAAAGCCACGGCUAACUACGUG